GAUGAACGCUAGCGGCAGGCUUAACACAUGCAAGUCGAGGGGUAUAGUUCUUCGGAGCUAGAGACCGGCGCACGGGUGCGUAACGCGUAUGCAAUCUACCUUUUGCAGAGGGAUAGCCCAGAGAAAUUUGGAUUAAUACCUCAUGGUAUGUGAGAAUGGCUUCAUUUUCACAUUAAAGUCACAACGGCAAAAGAUGGGCAUGCGUCCCAUUAGCUAGUUGGUAAGGUAACGGCUUACCAAGGCAACGAUGGGUAGGGGUCCUGAGAGGGAGAUCCCCCACACUGGUACUGAGACACGGACCAGACUCCUACGGGAGGCAGCAGUGAGGAAUAUUGGACAAUGGGCGCAAGCCUGAUCCAGCCAUGCCGCGUGCAGGAUGACGGUCCUAUGGAUUGUAAACUGCUUUUGUACAGGAAGAAACACUGGUUCGUGAACCAGCUUGACGGUACUGUAAGAAUAAGGAUCGGCUAACUCCGUGCCAGCAGCCGCAGUAAUAC
rnacentral:rRNA from 1 species